UAUUAUAUGGCGUGGUGUUAUAUGGCGUGGUGUUAUAUGGCGUGGUAUUAUAUGACGUGGUAUUAUAUGACAUGGUAUUAUAUGGCGUGGUAUGAUAUGGCGUGGUAUUAUAUGACGUGGUAUUAUAUGGCGUGGUGUUAUAUGGCGUGGCAUUAUAUGACGUGGUAUUAUAUGGCGUGGUAUUAUAUGACAUGGUAUUAUAUGGCGUGGUAUGAUAUGGUGUGGUGUGAUAUGGGGUGGUAUGAUAUGGGGUGGUAUUAUAUGGCGUGGUAUUAUAUGGCGUGGUGUUAUAUGGCGUGGUGUUAUAUGGCGUGGUAUUAUAUGGCGUGGUAUUAUAUGACAUGGUAUUAUAUGGCGUGGUAUGAUAUGGCGUGGUAUGAUAUGGGGUGGUAUGAUAUGGGGUGGUAUGAUAUGGGGUGGUGGCACACUCGAGGCGCGCAGCGCCGAGGUGAAUAAACACAUAUCCCCGAGGUGCCUCAAAAUAACGUACUUAUUUUUCACACUGCGAGGUCGCGUUAAUGAGUCAGAAAAGAAAUAAUUCUCAAUGCCAUAUUGCUUUUGCGAUGUUGUUUUUUUCUCGUUUUUUUGUGCUGCAAAGACAUUGCAGGUGAAUAUUAGAGGGAUUAUUAAUUGCAGGUGAAUAUUAGAGGGGAUUAUUAAACGGAAAUUGAUUAGAGGAGAAAUUGAAUAUAUUCCCCGACAAGAACAAAGGAAACCGAGCAGGGUGAAAAAUAAGGCGUGGUAUUAUAUGGCGUGGUAUUAUCUGGCGUGGUAUUAUAUGGCGUGGUAUUAUAUGGCGUGGUAUUAUAUGGGGUGGUAUUAUAUAUAUGGGGUGGUAUGAUAUGGGGUGAUAUUAUAUGUGGUGGUAUUAUAUGGCGUGGUAUUAUAUGGCAUGGUAUGGUAUGGCGUGGUAUGAUAUGGGGUGGUAUUAUAUGGGGUGGUAUUAUAUGGGGUGCUAUAUGGGGUGGUAUGAUAUGGGGUGUUGUUAUAUGGUGUGGUGUUAUAUGGGGUGGUGUUGUAUGGGGUGGUGUUAUAUGGCGUGGUAUUAUAUGGCGUGGUAUUAUAUGGCGUGGUAUUAUAUGGCGUGGUAUUAUAUGGGGUGGUUUAUAUGGGGUGGUAUUAUAUGGGGUGGUAUUAUAUGGAGUGGUAUUAUAUGGGGUGGUAUGAUAUGGGGUGGUAUGAUAUGAGGUGGUAUGAUAUGAGGUGGUAUGAUAUGGUGUGGUAUUAUAUGGCAUGGUAUUAUAUGGUGUGGUAUUAUAUGGCGUGUUGUUAUAUGGCAUGGUGUUGUAUGCAUGGCGUUAUAUGGCGUGGUACGUGUUAUAUGCAUUGCGUGGUGUUAUAUGGCGUGGUGUUAUAUUGCGUGGUAUUAUAUGGCGUGGUAUUAUAUAGGGUGGUAUGAUAUGGGGUGGUAUUAUAUGGGGUGGUAUUAUAUGGGGUGGUAUUAUAUGGGGGUGGUAUGAUAUGGGGNNNNNNNNNNNNNNNNNNNNNNNNNNNNNNNNNNNNNNNNNNNNNNNNNNNNNNNNNNNNNNNNNNNNNNNNNNNNNNNNNNNNNNNNNNNNNNNNNNNNNNNNNNNNNGGGGUGGUAUGAUAUGGGGUGGUAUGAUAUGGGGUGGUAUGAUAUGGGGUGGUAUGAUAUGGGGUGGUAUGAUAUUGGGGUGGUAUGAUAUUGAGGUGUUAUGAUAUUGGGGUGGUAUUAUAUGGGGUGGUAUUAUAUUGGAUGGUAUUAUAUGGGGUGGUAUUACAUGGGGUGGUAUUAUAUGGGGUGGUAUUAUAUGGGGUGGUAUGAUAUGGGGUGGUAUGAUAUGGGGUGGUAUUAUCUGGUGUGGUAUUAUAUGGCGUGGUGUUAUAUGGCGUGGUGUUAUAUGGCGUGGUGUUAUAUGGCGUGGUAUGAUAUGGGGUGGUAUGAUAUGGGGUAGUAUGAUAUUGGGGUGAUAUGAUAUGGAGUGAUAUGAUAUGGGGUGGUAUUAUAUGGCGUGGUAUUAUAUGGGGUGGUAUUACAUGGGGUGGUAUUAUAUGGGGUGGUAUUAUAUGGGGUGGUAUGAUAUGGGGUGGUAUGAUAUGGGGUGGUAUUAUCUGGUGUGGUAUUAUAUGGCGUGGUGUUAUAUGGCGUGGUGUUAUAUGGCGUGGUGUUAUAUGGCGUGGUAUGAUAUGGGGUGGUAUGAUAUGGGGUAGUAUGAUAUUGGGGUGAUAUGAUAUGGAGUGAUAUGAUAUGGGGUGGUAUUAUAUGGCGUGGUAUUAUAUGGGGUGGUAUUACAUGGGGUGGUAUUAUAUGGGGUGGUAUUAUAUGGGGUGGUAUGAUAUGGGGUGGUAUGAUAUGGGGUGGUAUUAUCUGGUGUGGUAUUAUAUGGCGUGGUGUUAUAUGGCGUGGUGUUAUAUGGCGUGGUGUUAUAUGGCGUGGUAUGAUAUGGGGUGGUAUGAUAUGGGGUAGUAUGAUAUUGGGGUGAUAUGAUAUGGAGUGAUAUGAUAUGGGGUGGUAUUAUAUGGCGUGGUAUUAUAUGGGGUGGUAUUACAUGGGGUGGUAUUAUAUGGGGUGGUAUUAUAUGGGGUGGUAUGAUAUGGGGUGGUAUGAUAUGGGGUGGUAUUAUCUGGCGUGGUAUUAUAUGGCGUGGUGUUAUAUGGCAUGGUGUUAUAUGGCGUGGUGUUAUAUGGCGUGGUGUUAUAUGGCGUGGUGUUAUAUGGCGUGGUGUUAUAUGGCGUGGUAUGAUAUGGCGUGGUAUGAUAUGGGGUGGUAUGAUAUGGGGUGAUAUGAUAUGGGGUGAUAUGAUAUGGGGUGGUAUUAUAUGGCGUGGUAUUAUAUGGCGUGGUAUUAUAUGGCGUGGUAUUAUAUGGCGUGGUAUUAUAUGGCGUGGUAUUAUAUGGCGUGGUAUUAUAUGGUGUGGUGUUAUAUGGGGUGGUGUUGUAUGGGGUGGUGUUAUAUGGCGUGGUAUUAUAUGGCGUGGUAUUAUAGGGCGUGGUAUUAUAUGGCGUGGUAUUAUAUGGGGUGGUAUUAUAUGGGGUGGUAUUAUAUGGGGUGGUGUUAUAUGGGGUGGUUUUAUAUGGGGUGGUAUGAUAUGGGGUGGUGUUAUAUGCAUGGCGUGGUGUUAUAUGGCGUGGUGUUAUAUUGCGUGGUAUUAUAUGGCGUGGUAUUAUAUAGGGUGGUAUUAUAUGGGGUGGUAUUAUAUGAGGUGGUAUGAUAUGGGGUGAUAUUAUAUGGGGUGGUAUUAUAUGGGGUGGUAUUAUAUGGGGUGGUAUUAUAUGGGGUGGUAUUAUAUGG
rnacentral:lncRNA from 1 species